CGGCGUGCCUAAUACAUGCAAGUCGAACGGUCUUUCUAUGGAAGCUUGCUUCCAACUGAGAAGAUAGUGGCGAACGGGUGAGUAACACGUGGGUAACCUGCCCAUAAGAGGGGGAUAACAUCCGGAAACGGGUGCUAAUACCGCAUAGUUUUCUUGAUCGCAUGAUCGGGAAAGGAAAGACGGCCUUUGUGCUGUCGCUUAUGGAUGGACCCGCGGCGUAUUAGUUAGUUGGUGAGGUAACGGCUCACCAAGACGAUGAUACGUAGCCGACCUGAGAGGGUGAUCGGCCACAUUGGGACUGAGACACGGCCCAAACUCCUACGGGAGGCAGCAGUAGGGAAUCUUCCGCAAUGGACGAAAGUCUGACGGAGCAACGCCGCGUGAGUGAAAGAAGGUUUUCGGAUCGUAAAACUCUGUUGUCAGAGAAGAACAAGUUGGAGAGUAACUGCUCCAGCCUUGACGGUAUCUGACCAGAAAGCCACGGCUAACUACGUGCCAGCCGCCGC
rnacentral:rRNA from 1 species